GGUGGCCUAUACUUGUAAGCUAUCGCUUUACGAUGGUUCUGCUUCGGAUUAGCUAGUUGGUGGGGUAACGGCCUUCCAAGGCGACGAUCAGUAACCGGUCUGAGAGGAUGAACGGCCACAUUGGAACUGAGACACGGUCCAGACUCCUACGGGAGGCAGCAGUGGGGAAUCUUCCGCAAUGGGCGCAAGCCUGACGGAGCAACGCCGCGUGAGUGAAGAAGGGUUUCGACUCGUAAAGCUCUGUUGUCGGGGACGAAUGUGGAGAUGGUGAAUAACCAUUUUCAAUGACGGUACCUGACGAGGAAGCCACGGCUAACUACGUGCCAGCAGCCGCGGUAAUACGUAGGUGGCGAGCGUUGUCCGGAAUUAUUGGGCGUAAAGGGAGCGCAGGCGGGAAGGUAAGUCUAUCUUAAAAGUGCGGGGCUCAACCCCGUGAGGGGAUGGAAACUAUCUUUCUUGAGUGCAGGAGAGGAAAGCGGAAUUCCUAGUGUAGCGGUGAAAUGCGUAGAUAUUAGGAGGAACGCCAGUGGCGAAGGCGGCUUUCUGGACUGUAACUGACGCUGAGGCUCGAAAGCGUGGGGAGCGAACAGGAUUAGAUACCCUGGUAGUCCACGCCGUAA
rnacentral:rRNA from 1 species